GACGAACGCUGGCGGCGUGCCUAAUGCAUGCAAGUAGAACGCACAGUUUAUACCGUAGCUUGCUACACCAUAGACUGUGAGUUGCGAACGGGUGAGUAACGCGUAGGUAACCUGCCUGGUAGCGGGGGAUAACUAUUGGAAACGAUAGCUAAUACCGCAUAAUAUUAAUUAUUGCAUGAUAAUUAAUUGAAAGGUGCAAUUGCACCACUACCAGAUGGACCUGCGUUGUAUUAGCUAGUAGGUGAGGUAACGGCUCACCUAGGCGACGAUACAUAGCCGACCUGAGAGGGUGAUCGGCCACACUGGGACUGAGACACGGCCCAGACUCCUACGGGAGGCAGCAGUAGGGAAUCUUCGGCAAUGGACGAAAGUCUGACCGAGCAACGCCGCGUGAGUGAAGAAGGUUUUCGGAUCGUAAAGCUCUGUUGUAAGAGAAGAACGGGUGUGAGAGUGGAAAGUUCACACUGUGACGGUAUCUUACCAGAAAGGGACGGCUAACUACGUG
rnacentral:rRNA from 1 species